rnacentral:rRNA from 1 species
GACGAACGCUGGCGGCGUGCUUAACACAUGCAAGUCGAACGAAGAGCGAUGGAAGCUUGCUUCUAUCAAUCUUAGUGGCGAACGGGUGAGUAACGCGUAAUCAACCUGCCCUUCAGAGGGGGACAACAGUUGGAAACGACUGCUAAUACCGCAUACGAUCUAACCUCGGCAUCGAGGAUGGAUGAAAGGUGGCCUCUAUGUAUAAGCUAUCACUGAAGGAGGGGAUUGCGUCUGAUUAGCUAGUUGGAGGGGUAACGGCCCACCAAGGCGAUGAUCAGUAGCCGGUCUGAGAGGAUGAACGGCCACAUUGGGACUGAGACACGGCCCAGACUCCUACGGGAGGCAGCAGUGGGGAAUCUUCCGCAAUGGACGAAAGUCUGACGGAGCAACGCCGCGUGAGUGAUGACCGGCUUCGGGUUGUAAAGCUCUGUUAAUCGGGACGAAAGGCCUUCUUGCGAAUAGUUAGAAGGAUUGAC